rnacentral:lncRNA from 1 species
UUAAGAACAUUAACCACCACCAGCAGAUCAUUCCUUCCUAGCGCCAUUUCCCGAAACACAGAAAAGGAACACCCACUGGUUGGACUUAUAUUGCAUUAGGGAACAAUCAGCCACAGGUAAUUCAAUUAACCAAGAGAAGCAACUUUCCCUAUCGAUGGCAAAAGCUCAUACUUACAUGCUUCAGUAGAAGCGGAAGCCCAAGAAGGGCCCAGGCAGAAAACAUGUCAGUCAACAAUUAAACGCACAAACCCAGAAUGCUUAAACAAUAAAGAAAACACACACACGCACAAACAUGAUGAUUCACCAAGAGGAACAGAGUGGCCAUCACUCAGGCCAAGUAAACAAAUUCAAAAUACAGAAUUCCUUUUGCUUAAAAUUGUAGUUGACUCGCGAACACAGUAAUUUACCAGGGGAGCUAUAAUUCCUGUAUAAGAGACACUCAUUGAUACACUCAACUUGGGCAUGCAGCUCAUACAUAGCUGUCAAUCAAUGACUUCCUCAUCUCAUCAACAAUGGCACUAGGUUGAGCUUCUCUUAACUUGAAAACGCUCUCUAUAACAGACAAUUCUGUUGCGGUAGUGUCAGAUCCACAAAAGGCUGUCCAGUCAUUAACUGUCAGGCCAGCAGCGAUUACUUCACUACCACGAUUCACUGUCCCUGCCACCAGUGGAACCUGUAGGAGCGUAGAGAGUUCAUCUAGGUCCUCUAUGGACGUAUGAGGAUGCACCUGAGCAACAACAGAUUCAGUGAGAAACAGACACGUGCUCUUAACUCUAACUUCAUAUUUCAUUAGCACAAAUCACAGAAUUAAGGAGUUUUAUAUCCGUUCAAAUGUUCACUAAGUACAAGGUGCACUGCUUACCAGGCCACCCCUAUUUGAAAAUGCACAAUAGCUGCCCACCAAAAUAUUUCCAGCAAUUGUCUGUCUAAAAACUUCUACUCCAAGAACAUCUGCAAUCAUCUCCUCAGUUUCCUAUGAGAAGACACAGCACACCAAAAUUACCAGCUUAAUCAAUGAUUAAAAUAAGCUCAUUUUGAUUUAGACAGUAUAUCAUGCUCUACCCUUCCUGAAAAAAGUUAUAACCAGACAGAGAAAAGCUGAAUAAUUAGCAUAAAAUUAAUAAGGUAGAUUCCAAGUGAAAUAUCAAAUUGCCAUUGAAGAAGCAAAAUUUGAAACAAGUGCAGAAAGCAUCCAGCUGAAUAUCACCACAACCUAUUUGAGGCUUUUACCAAGAGGGAAAUGCAUGCAUACAACAAGAACUGCUGUCAGCAUUGAGAAGCAUGCAUAGACUUCAGAUUUGUCACAUGACAGGCAUAGGAUGUACAGGCAUAUAGAUAAACAUAGGGAGGAAGAGUCUAGAUGACACAUGCAAGUGUUUCAAUCAGGUCAAUUGCAUUCCCAGACAAUAUAAGAAUUGGAAAAGCACUGCUUUAUUAGGUAUAGCAAAAUUGCCACUAACUUUUUCACAUAAGAUAUAUGGUAUCCAAAUCAUUAAGCAUGUUAUUAUCAAGGGAAAGGACAAUAUUACCCUGUCGAGAUCGGUGUGUGUAAGUGCAACAUGAUCGUUGCAGGCAAUGCAGUUUCCCAAUGCAGAAAGUCUCUCAUCAAUGCGCUGAACAACAACUGAAUCUGGUAGACUAUUCCUCAAAUGCUGAAGUUCUUUAUCACAUAUAAUGUAAAUCAAAGUCAGAACCUUGAAAGUCCAUAACACAUCCACAAGCAAAGGUAGAUAAUUCUCAUAUGCACCACAACUUUUUUACGAACAAAUAGUGAUCUUAUGAUGACAUGUAAUACGUCAUCAAUUAAAUCCAACAAAAACAUGGUCAACCAACCCAAGAAGAAGACAAAUGAAAAAGGAAAAGAACAAAGAUUAUACAUUGCACAGUGUAGCUGAAUAUCAAUACUUGAAAGGAAAAUUAUUUGCUUAAAAAUUUUAAAGCUGUGAAUCAAAAGAUACACAAUAACUGUACUAGCAACAAGUUCAUGAAGUUGUUACCUUGAUCGGUGGUAGUAUGCGGUAAGAGAAGCCCAUUCUUGUUUCCUAAAUGAAAAAAGGGGGAAAGUUAUCCUAUCUAAACAGUCAUUCCAAUGGUACUCAUGUCUCUACAAGCAAAAUAACUCUAAGAGCCUUCUAAAGUCCUCACCAGCACAAAGUCUUCCAAUGAUCCUAGUGCCACCAAUCGCGGUCUUCACUACCGGAAUUACAUCAGCCAAUUCUGCCUCAAACGUACUACAAUACACAAUAUAUAGGUUACACACAAGAAAAAAGAUUUGCUGAAGAAAAAGGGAAAAUAAAUUUUAUCAUGUUAGUAGAGUAGCUUGAAGCGAACCUGUAGAAGUUCUCAGAACCUCCAAUGGCGACCAAGCAAUAAGCAUUGGUCAACUUAGAAAAAACUCCAACUUCGCAUGAAUUCUCAAAUUGCAAUCCUAAAAUUAAAAGCAACGAUAAUAAUUAUGAUAUUAAAGGAACAAUUUUCACGCCAUAAAUCAGCUAAAAUCAAUUCUUUUUUUUAACUCAAUGACUUAUUUGAACUGGAAUACUCACUGGUAGCCAUGAUUCCAAGGAUAUCAAACAAAUAUAAACACCUACUCGAUAUUAGAUCUGAAAAGGGAAAAAAUCCAAGAAGAAAGGAUUGAACAUGGAAAGAAAGAAUAAAAAGCAGGAACAAAUAAGAAUAAUAAUGAAAUCAAUUACGGAAUUCUUACAAUCAAGAAAUCGAGGUUCUAUUGAAAAUUCGUAGAUUACCUAAAAGGGAUUUGCUGGGAGAAUGAUUUGAACGUUCAGCAGACGCUAAUCAACGAGAACAGAAACCCUGAUUAGUGUUUUAGGGUUAGGGCUUAUAACCAAGUCAAAAUAAAGAAUCCAAACGGUGAGAGGCUGAGAGCUGUUUUGUUUUCCUGGCUUUCCCCCUCUCUUUUAUUUAUUAUUUUUUUUUGGCGAUAAUUUGCGGAGGUUGUUUGGAGCCAGACGCUGAAAGGGCCUUAUAUGAAGGCCCCUUGUAUGUCGCUGUUGAGGAUUCAACUUCUCGACCAGUUUGGGCCAGAUUUAUUUAUUCCCCUUUCGGCCCACGCGGAAACUUCACCCUUGUAUCCCAAGAAAAAAAAAAAAUUUCUCAUCUUUGAAAUCAACAUUGACAGUCAACAUAUUAGACAUCUCACGUCAUUUCUUGUGAAGAACGUUGAAAGCUUGAUGAUCAAGAAAAGUUGGAUGUGAGCAGGCACAUAUUUGUAGUAUUGGUUUGUUGCAUAUAAUUUCACAUGGGUUUUGAAAUCUACCCUGAUGGAGUUAUUUUCUAACUACUUUGUUUUUGUACUUUGUAUUUAAAGAAUCAUACAAAUACAGCCAAAAAAUAGAUUGUCCAUUAGCAUAAUUCAAAACUCAUUUUGUAUAAUUUAUGCCUUCAGCUUCUUCAAAAUCAUGCUAAUUGCCAGUCAUUCUUUGCGACAAAUUCAGAACAUGUAAUUAGGUAAACUCAGCGUAUUUAACCAAAUGCUAUCUCUUCCUUUAAAAUUGUCUUACCAAAUAUGCCAGGUUAAGUCUGAGUCUCAAAAGAUUCAGGCACUAUUUGGAUUGAGGGAAUGGGAGAGGAAUCGAAGAAAUUUGGUUUUUGUUGUUUGGAUUGACUUUUAAGUAGGGAAAGGGUCUAAUAAUUUUGUCGAAAUAUGGUUUUCACUCAAAAAUGGGCGGAAACGAGGGAAAUGAAAAUAAAUUAAUUUCAAUAAUUUUAAAUUUUUUUAAAAAAGAUCAAUUUUGUCUAUAUUUUCUGGUAAUUAAAUACUUGGUCUUUUACUUUCCUUUCUCUUCCUCUUCAAUCCAAACAAAAAAUUAGUAUUUUCUUUCAUUUCCUUCCAUACUUAAUCCAAACAAAAUAGAUGGACAUCACUUUUCUCUACUCUCCUUUCUUUUCUUUUCCAUUAGUAUCCUUUUCUUUCCCUUCCUUUCCGUCAAUCCAAACGGUGCCUUAGAAAUUAUGGGAUUAAUCGAAUUCAGCCUUGGGCAUGCAAGCAAAAAAUACAUCUCCGAGUUGUAUUCAUGUAGCCAAGUAUACAACCUUUGGCCUUCGAUUGACCAAUCCAAGUCCAGCCUUUUAUCCUUGAAGACCAAAAACAAAUAGGAAAAAUUUUUAAAGGAAUAGGAAAUCCUCCGUGCUCCAGUGCAAUAUUCUUAUGAGAAUUGAAAAUGAGAGAGAGCUUGUAUUCUAUAUGCGCAUUAUGUCGACAUGAUCAUGAAUGUUAUUGUUGCAGUAUCGUUGCUCAGCAUCCUGAGAAUGAUGAAAAUCUCACAAAACCCAAUAUUUACAACAAAAGAAUAGCCACAGAACUUUUUUUUAAAAAAAAAAUUUAAACAAAAACAAUGAAAACAUAGAACAGGCCAGACUGAUGAUCGAUCAAAAUCACCCAUUACUACAUAAAAUUCGAGAAUUUAAAAUCGUUCUGAUGCCCGUAUCUGCAAGUGAAAGAUUGGCUUCGAAAGUAUUCCACCUCCUCUUGUUGCCACUUUCCAUCAUCAAAGUUCUUAGAGCAGCUAAAGCUAUCAUAUAUAAUUCAACAGCUCGUGUCUUUCGCUUUCCUUUGCACACGAUGACUUCUUUAGAACUACCUACUCCUUCAGCUGUGGUGGCCUGGAUUAGCCUCUCCAAUAGAUGUUUUAUUGUACUCAGCCUUCCAUUGGCUCCAAAGAAGUUACUGCCAUGAACCAUCUUUCUGGUUCAUGCUAACUUGUUCAAGUGAUUUCUUUUCCAUCGCAAACAGAAUUGUUUCACCAAAAGUUACUUAUACCAUGGUCCUGGAGGCAGUGAAAUAAAAGAAGAUUCCACAUGUUUUUCCCUUAUCACAAUGCAUUAGUGAUUAGCCACCCACCCAGGACUAUUCAUCUCCCUAACCUGGAGUAAAUAGCUUUUUGUAAAAAAGAUGAACCCUAGAAAUCUUCACCAACCACUACUUUCCAUAAUGCCAAAUCCAUAUCUCCAUCCCAACCAUUUUAUAUUUCAUCUGCAUUACUAUUAACAUCAAGGGGUUCAUUCAUACAACAGUUCCCAGAGUUAAGACUUAGGAAUUGAGACAAAUUUAGUACAGCACAAAAUCACAAAUUCACCUCUAGAUAUUCAUAGCAUCUAGCUUCAUUUUAAAGCAACAACUCGGCAGAAUGCACAGAAAUAAGCUUAAAAUGCGAGCAAAAAAGUUAAGGUGGUGCUUAUGUUAUAAGAAAGGUACAUGCCAAAAGCUACAGUGGCGGCGGAGACGGAGUCGCGUAAUAGGCGGAUGGGGACGGUGGUGGAGAGCUUGAAUGCGCUCGCGGGAUCAUCUGAGCUCAUAAUCAAAGCCGCACCGGCUCCGCCUCCCGCGGCUGUGGCCGCCAUCAACAGUUUCGCUCUGGUGCGCCACACCGAUCUCACCGCCAUUUAUUGGCCUUCCUUUUUAAUUUUUUUCCCCUUGUCCCCGCCUUUUGAUUGGCUUCGGGUUUUUAUUUAGAACUCCAAGAAAACGGGGUGGACAGAGGCGAAACUUCCUCUAUUAUCCACAUAUCUUCUGACAGCAGCUGAAGCGGAUAUGAAGACUGUUGACACGCUCUGGGUUUUAGUUUCGGGUGGCUGACUCGUUUGUAACUUGCAUUUCAUUGUUUUCAUAUUUAAAUAUGCAGUUUUACCUUGUUCCACACCUAAAUCUGGAGAUAGAUAUCAACUGUUACGAUUGAUCAAUCUCCAGCUUUUUUAUGAGUUCUUCUAUCACUCUAUUGUUUCAUGAUUUUCCUCGCGCAUGCACUGUUGUGUAUGCACCUAUUAGGCUAUUACCUUGCAUGGUUAGUGCUGUAGAACAGAACAGAAUGGCUAUGUAGGUCAUAGAAGGUACCACACACCAUUAUUGUUUGUGGAGGAUUAUCGUGCACAUGAAUUACAGGAUAGAAAUAUGGGUUAUCUGCACAUGAAUUGCAGGCAGGACUGAAAUAGGAAAGAACACAGCCUUCGCCAGGUUACUUCACAGACCUCUGCAUUUGAUAAAGAGAGAAUAUGGGACAUUUGUAGAUCUUGAAAUCCCCAAGCCUUGUGUGGACGUGUUUAAGUUAUAAUGCCUUUGUCCCGAAUGAGCCACAAGCGGACAUCGUGUUAUAGAAUGACUUGUGUCGAAGAACUGCAAAUUUUCAAGCAUUAACCAAAAUUUUUUUUUUCUUUUCAACUCCUCCCACUCAUUGAUCCAGCUAAGAAUCCAAUCAUGGAUAAGUCGAUCCAAAGCUCUCUCCCGUGUUCCCUUCUCUUUUUUUUUUCCCUUUUUUCUAAUCCAUUUUAAGUUUGUCAAAAUUAGACUGCUAUGCUUUGUUAAGAACAUCAACCACCAGCAGCAGAUCAUUCCUUCCUAGCGCCAUUUCCAGAAACAUAGAAAAGGAACACCCACUGGUUGGACUUAUAUUGCAUUAGGGAGCAAUCAGCCACAGGUAAUUCAAUUAACCAAGAGAAGCAACUUUCCCUGUAGAUGGCAAAAGCUCAUACUUAAGUAGAAGCGGAAGCCCGAGAAGGCCCAAGGCAGACAACAUGUCAGUCAACAAUUAAACGUACAAACCCAGAAUGCUUAAACAAUAAAGAAAACACACACACACACAAACAUGAUGAUUCACCAAGAGGAACAGAGUGGCCAUCACUCAGGACAAGUAAACAAUUUCAAAAUACAGAAUUCCUUUUGCUUAAAAUUGUAGUUGACUCACGAAUACAGUAAUUUACCAGGGGAGACAGCAUAAUCAUUAAAAAAAAAAAAGGAAAAAGAAGAGAGAAAGAAAAAACAUACAAUGUAAGUAAGAACA